UACGUAGGGGGCGAGCGUUGUCCGGAUUUAUUGGGCGUAAAGAGCUCGUAGGCGGUUCAACAAGUCGGUCGUGAAAGUUCAGGGCUCAACCCUGAAAUGUCGAUCGAUACUGUUGUGACUAGGAUACGGUAGAGGUGAGUGGAAUUCCGAGUGUAGCGGUGAAAUGCGUAGAUAUUCGGAGGAACACCAAUUGCGAAGGCAGCUCACUGGGCCGCUAUCGACGCUGAGGAGCGAAAGCUAGGGGAGCAAACAGGAUUAGAUACCCUGGUAGUCCUAGCUGUAAACGAUGGAUACUAGACGUAGGAACUGGAUUGACGGUUUCUGUGUCGUAGCUAACGCGUUAAGUAUCCCGCCUGGGGAGUACGGUCGCAAGACUAAAACUCAAAGGAAUUGACGGGACCCCGCACAAGCGGCGGAGCAUGCGGCUUAAUUCGAUGAUACCCGUAGAACCUUACCUGGACUUGACAUAUAGGGUCUAGCUAUAGAGAUAUAGUGUGCAUUAGCGCCCUAUACAGGUGGUGCAUGGCUGUCGUCAGCUCGUGUCGUGAGAUGUUGGGUUGAGUCCCGCAACGAGCGCAACCCCUAUCCUAUGUUGCCAGCAUUUAGUUGGGGACUCAUAGGAGACUGCCGGUGAUAAACCGGAGGAAGGUGGGGACGACGUCAAGUCAUCAUGCCCCUUAUGUCCAGGGCUGCACGCAUGCUACAAUGGCAAGUACAACGAGUCGCAAUACCGCGAGGUGGAGCAAAUCUCUUAAAGCUUGUCUCAGUUCGGAUAGGAGUCUGCAACUCGACUCCUUGAAGUUGGAGUCGCUAGUAAUCGCAAAUCAGCAAAGUUGCGGUGAAUACGUUCUCGGGGUU
rnacentral:rRNA from 1 species